GUGGGGAAUUUUGGACAAUGGGCGCAAGCCUGAUCCAGCAAUGCCGCGUGCAGGAAGAAGGCCUUCGGGUUGUAAACUGCUUUUGUACGGAACGAAACGGUCCUGGCUAAUAUCCGGGGCUAAUGACGGUACCGUAAGAAUAAGCACCGGCUAACUACGUGCCAGCAGCCGCGGUAAUACGUAGGGUGCGAGCGUUAAUCGGAAUUACUGGGCGUAAAGCGUGCGCAGGCGGUGCUGUAAGACAGGCGUGAAAUCCCCGGGCUCAACCUGGGAAUUGCGCUUGUGACUGCAGUGCUGGAGGGCGGCAGAGGGGGAUGGAAUUCCGCGUGUAGCAGUGAAAUGCGUAGAUAUGCGGAGGAACACCGAUGGCGAAGGCAAUCCCCUGGGCCUGCACUGACGCUCAUGCACGAAAGCGUGGGGAGCAAACAGGAUUAGAAACCCCAGUAGUCC
rnacentral:rRNA from 1 species